GGGAGCAUAGUUCAGUUGGAGCGGUAGUAGACUGAAGUUCUACAGUAAAAUGUCCCGCGUUCGAUCCGCGGUGGUCCCA